CCUGGCACAUUGAAAUGUUAUGUUAGGUUAAGGGAAAGACCAGAGGCCCAUUCUACGCCCUGGCACUGUUGGAUUAUGUAGAGGGCUAUUGGUGACAAGUCCAUCCUUGAUGUGAGUUGUUUGUGAUGUGAUGCAUUCCAUGAAAGCAUGUGUUUUAAUAUAUUGUUUUACUAUUCUGCUCACUGGGCUCUAGUAGCUCACCCCUUUCCCUUAAC
rnacentral:lncRNA from 1 species